CUUGAGUCCUGCAGUCCUGAACUCAAGCUUGACUGACUCAAGAGUCCUAAUGAGACGGACUCAGGAAGAGAGUGGUCCUCAGGUCCUUGCCACAAAUGGACAGGGCACCAAAGACAGAUCCUUGAUUAAUAUCUCUGAGAAAGAGACUAAAGUCCAAGGUCUGCCCACAGGCUCCCCUCCCUCAUGCUUUUCUGCACCUCCUUCAGGUCCUACUCAAGAGCAGCUUGGUGCACUAGAGCAUUUUCUAGUAUCUCAUCAGACAGA